rnacentral:snRNA from 1 species
GUGCACACUUCAGCAGCAUAUAUACUAAAAUUGGAAUGAUGCUGAGAAGAUUAGCAUGGCCCCUG